GAUUAUGGCUCAGAUGAACGCUGGCGGCAGGCUUAACACAUGCAAGUCGAGCGGGGAUAGGGUGCUUGCACCUGAUUCCUAGCGGCGGACGGGUGAGUAAUGCUUAGGAAUCUGCCUAUUAGUGGGGGACAACGUUCCGAAAGGGACGCUAAUACCGCAUACGUCCUACGGGAGAAAGCAGGGGAUCUUCGGACCUUGCGCUAAUAGAUGAGCCUAAGUCGGAUUAGCUAGUUGGUGGGGUAAAGGCCUACCAAGGCGACGAUCUGUAGCGGGUCUGAGAGGAUGAUCCGCCACACUGGGACUGAGACACGGCCCAGACUCCUACGGGAGGCAGCAGUGGGGAAUAUUGGACAAUGGGGGCAACCCUGAUCCAGCCAUGCCGCGUGUGUGAAGAAGGCCUUUUGGUUGUAAAGCACUUUAAGCGAGGAGGAGGCUUACCUGGUUAAUACCCGGGAUAAGUGGACGUUACUCGCAGAAUAAGCACCGGCUAACUCUGUGCCAGCAGCUGC
rnacentral:rRNA from 1 species